CCAGAUCUUUCAUUGGGAAUUGAGUAGAAAACCAAAUCUUGACUAAUGACAAUAACCCUACAUCAUUACCAAUUAGUAGAUUGUCAUCUACCUGUAAGAUCCUAAAGCACCACCAUGCUUUCCUGAAAUUUCUUGUACUCACAAGGCCUUUUGCUAUGAAAAUAUAUUGUUACAUCAUAUAGAUGCUAAUAUCAAGGUAAUAAUUUAAGAACAUCGUUUUGAAAUCUUAUUGCAAUAUCUCAUAAAUAAGAUACACCGUAACGGGUAGGAGUACUCUAAUGGAUCUGAAUAUGGCUAUUGGUGAAAAGGUUUCCUAUAUUCGAAACAAUGUUUCGAACUAUAACC
rnacentral:lncRNA from 1 species